GUCCCAGUUCGGACUGUGGUCUGCAACCCGACCACACGAAGCUGGAAUCGCUAGUAAUCGCGGAUCAGAAUGCCGCGGUGAAUACGUUCCCGGGUCUUGUACACACCGCCCGUCACACCAUGGGAGUCAGCAACGCCCGAAGUCAGUGACCCAACCAUUAUAGGAGGGAGCUGCCGAAGGCGGGGCAGGUGACUGGGGUGAAGUCGUAACAAGGUAUC
rnacentral:rRNA from 1 species